UACGUAGGGUGCGAGCGUUAAUCGGAAUUACUGGGCGUAAAGCGUGCGCAGGCGGUUCGCCGUGUCCGAUGUGAAAGCCCCGGGCUUAACCUGGGAAUGGCAUUGGAAACUGGCGGGCUGGAGUGUGGCAGAGGGGGGUGGAAUUCCUGGUGUAGCGGUGAAAUGCGCAGAUAUCAGGAGGAACACCAAUGGCGAAGGCAGCUCGCUGGGACGGUACUGACGCUGAGGCGCGACAGCGUGGGGAGCAAACAGG
rnacentral:rRNA from 1 species